rnacentral:rRNA from 1 species
GACGAACGCUGGCGGCGUGCUUAACACAUGCAAGUCGAACGGAAAGGCCCUGCUUGCAGGGUGCUCGAGUGGCGAACGGGUGAGUAACACGUGGGUGAUCUGCCCCUUACUUUGGGAUAAGCCUGGGAAACUGGGUCUAAUACUGGAUAGGACCAUGCUGUAGGUGGUGUGGUGGAAAGAUUAGUUUCGGUAAGGGAUGAGCUCGCGGCCUAUCAGCUUGUUGGUGGGGUAAUGGCCUACCAAGGCGUCGACGGGUAGCCGGCCUGAGAGGGUGGACGGCCACAUUGGGACUGAGAUACGGCCCAGACUCCUACGGGAGGCAGCAGUGGGGAAUAUUGCACAAUGGGCGCAAGCCUGAUGCAGCGACGCAGCGUGGGGGAUGACGGCCUUCGGGUUGUAAACUCCUUUCAGCCAUGACGAAGCCCUUGUGGUGACGGUAGUGGUAGAAGAAGCACCGGCUAACUACGUG